rnacentral:misc_RNA from 1 species
GAUGAAGAACGUAGUGAAAUGCGAUAAGUAGUGUGAGUUGCAGAAUUCAGUGAAUCAUCGAAUCUUUGAACGCACAUUGCGCCCCUUGGUAUCCCGAGGGGCAUGCCUGUUCGAGCGUCAUUUCACCACUCAAGCCUGGCUUGGUGUUGGGUGACGUCCUCUUUGGGGACGCGCCUCGAAACGCUCGGCGGCGUGGCACCGGCUUUAAGCGUAGCAGAAUCUUUCGCUUUGGAAGUCGGGGCCCCGUCUGCCGGAAGACCUGCUCGCAAGGUUGACCUCGGAUCAGGCAGGGAUACCCGCUGAACUUAAGCAUAUCAAUAAGCGGAGGA